UGUCAAAGUCAGGGCCAGAGAAGAAGGCA
rnacentral:piRNA from 1 species